GUUAGCAUCAUAAUAACAUCACGUGACACUGACAGCUGAUCGUCAGCCUGUUAACAGAACAUCAGGCGAACAAAAGCUCUGAGCAGGAACAUAACAUCGUACAGAACGUGAUGUUUAGCUCUCCUGAUAACAAGAACAAGCAGCUGCUGGAGUUAUGAGCUGAUGAUCACGGCAGCUAACACAACAACCUGGGUGUUAGCUGCUAGCCGCUGCCCUCUACAAUGAAUGGAUCGUUAGCUCCUAGCUAACGCCCAAGCUAACCCCAGACCGUGGCCCGGGACGGAGCGUUUUGAAGCGGGAUCCCGGGAUGAGUGUGAGCGAGCAGCCCCCGGACCGAAGAGAGACACGUUCAGACACGUGAUCCGGAUCAAAACAGGACAGCUGAAAAGAGACAGGACAUGAAGGGAGCAGAGAGAGGAGGAGGACAUGCAGCAAAGGGUCGAGGCCGGGAUUCAAACCAGCGACGGCUACAACCAGGACUGUAGCUUCUGUACAUCUUUACAUGAGCCUAGCUGAGGCCGCUCGGCUAAAAGAGCUUGUAAAAGAAACCUCCAGAGACGGAGAGAGAACAAUCAUGGGUAAAGAGCUGUGUGGGGUUUGGUGUGGCACUCUGACAGAACCUUAGAUUACUGUCACACCUGCAAACAUCUUCAUCAGGUACGUCUGAUGUGGGCACAGAGCUCAGAGGAAAACUAGUUCUAGCAUAUAUGUGUCAGAAUACUCCAUGCUGAUUGGCUGACAGCAUUCGACAAGCUCUGUUGAAUAAAAUUAUAAUACCCCAUUUAUUCUAGAAUGUUAUAUUUUAAUAUGAGGUCACUUUGUGCAUUCAUCUUU